UGGCUUGACGUGGGCAGUGCUAUAAAAGGCCCCGUAUUCGACGCGCUCGCCACAGUUGGAAAGUGUGCGUUGGAAAGCGAAGAUCGAGGAGUUGAAUUGACAGAUUCGAAGGCAGUCGCUGUUAAGUCGCAAACAUGUGCAAGGCUGUUAUAGAUUAUAAUGAAAGAAGAUUGGAUGAGUGUGAGGAGACUAAGGAGCUAAGCAUACGGCCUUCGAAUCGAGAGUGGUAUGAGUCAUGGGCGCUGCCUCCAGAAAUCCAUGCAAAAAGCCACCAGGAAGAGCCUUUGGUCCCGGAGCACACUUGUUUCCUGCUCCUCGCACGUUAAUGGCAACGAUGAGGAGGAACGGAACACUUAACAAGCAACUACGUCGCAGUGUGCAACUGAAUGAAACCGAAUACCGGUGAUCCGGAGAACCAACCGCGACCAUGCGACCAUGACAACGGCUGGUAAGAAAGAAACACGAUCGUCGCAGCGACGAUGGCGUAGCGUUAUAGAGUAACUGAGUGAGUCUCCACGUCUGUCCGAGUCACCCCCACCUCUACCGCCUGGCAGUGAGUUCCGCAAACCAGCAUAGAUCGCCGGAGCAGUGAGCAGCCGCAGCACACACCACCGAGUCUCCGUCUCCUCUGCAUGACAUGACAUGACCAUGCCAUUGACAAUGUCCAUGCAAUUCAGUCGCAGCUGAUAGAUUAAUGGGGACAAGGCGGAAUGCGGCAGCAGCUCCAGCUCGCAUCAGCUUACCUGCGUUUGAAGCUCUCCUGGGUAUUGCCAACUAUCGACCACCAACUACCAUCACCUAUUCUACAUAGAACGCUUCGCAGCUGCUGAGCACCACCCACCCAUCCACACAGAUACACGGUAUUUGGUAUAUCAGCUGCGAACAAAAUAUUGCUUUCUGAACCGAUUUACAGCGAAAAUAACAGCGGAGCGGAUCUGUCGUGUAUCAUCGAAAUCAUAACAACAUUCUACGUCUUCUGCGGUUUGGAUUUUUAGGAGCUCCUAUCUCACCUUCGCAUGUAAGCCGCAAGGGGUUAUUAUCGUGACUAACAGAACUGAAUUUCCAACUGCUUUCGCUCGUCGCCCAUCGUUGGACUUCGUCUCAUUUACUCAUUAUAUUUUUGGCAGGCAAUGUUUGGACCCUAGGGAUUCGCCCUUCCUUUUUUGUUAAUCUUUGGGCUAGCUAAAUCCGAUUUAAUCAUUGUAGCGGCAUCUUACAGUUGAUCGGUCCCUGUGAGUGCCAGUGUGUGAUGUGCACCGCACUAUACUCUGCAUUCUCCAAGUGCUCGGAGUCCUGAGGGCACCACCAGCAGAUCUUCCAAGAAAUUAAAUCUGAAGCACGAGUGGAAGAGUUAGUAGACUAGGCACAAGCGUCACUUUUCGUUUAUUUUUCUAGCGAUGCAUCGCAGUUGAACGGUGCCUGCGUGCAUCUGCGGGAAAAUGGCGGAGGAGGAUCUUCCUAAUACUGCGUUUUUGAAUUUGAAGACCAGAAACAUCGAUGUGAUGAAAGCCAAAGCGUAAUUCGUUUUUGAUACUAACUUCGAUCAAAAUGCUCCCGUUAUAUUAUUUCUAGGCGGAAUGCUCCUACGAUAGCUACCAUUAAUAUCGGAUUUUCCUCUAGUGUUUAUGCCGAGAAACAAAAUCUUAAAAAGCUCAAGAGACUGACGGGUGGAACAACAAGUCAAUCGUAAAAGCUAAACAAUUGCUAUUGAAAACCUUUUCUUUCGUAUUUUGUAGAAAUACAUAUUCAUGGAAAGUUAACCAGCUGGGAAGUUGUAAGGCAGCCAAUAUUGGACGGUCCGCCCAUCACAUGUAAAUUAUAUUUUGUAUAUCCAACGAAAUAUUUCUGUCUUGUAGCGAUAUGGUUGCAGUAGAAUGUGCCUGCCCAUAUUUCAUCGGUAUUUAUUGACGUCGAAAGCAACAGCAAACCCUCGACCACUUCAAAGUUAUUCCACUGACUAUGGCGAUUGUGCAACUUCGGGACCGAUAAAAAACGCAUUUUCUAUAAAGUUCCUCUUUAUCGAAUCCCAAUGAAGUAGCGAUUCAUUAAUGUAUUCAUUGCAGUGUUAAUUCCAAGACAUGAGGGAAUCAUAAAAACAGCAAAAGACUGACGAAAGGAGCAUCCAAACUACCGUAACAAUUAUGAACUUUGCAAUCGAAAACUUUUUUUUUCGUAUUUAUAGAAAUGCAUAUUGGCGGACAGUUAAGCUGCAAGGGAUUUGUACGCCAGCCUUUACUGGAUCACACGUAAAUUAUUUGUAGUUUGUCGAACCAAUUAUUUCUGUCUUGUAGCGAUGUGGUUGCAGUUGAAUGUGCCUGCCCAGAUCUCAUCAGUAGCUUAUGAGCCGAAAGCUAAUGUGAACCGUCUAUUCUAAGGCCUUGUAAUGACUGCGUUUGAGCCACGCUUGGAUCGUCAAAGUGCGCACUUUACACUGAUGUUUCUCUAUUCUGCCCAAAUUCACUACCAAGACACGAGUUUCUCCCGGCUGUUCCGAUACAUAACACUGUCUACGCACCUAUGUGCAUUUACUUGUUUUAAAACCUACCGAGAACAUGUAGCAAAAUUUCUUGAGGCAAUGGGAAUCAAAUGCCAACUUGAAAGCAAUAACACCAACACUCGUCGCAGUCCAACAUCCAUACAACACGACGAAUUCGAUUUAAACGCAGGUCAGGCCUGAACUCAACUGGAUUUUGCUUACACCUGUUUUUCAGCAAAUUUGUCGGGCCAGGAUGUGGAGUCUUGUAGCAGGAACGACCUUUGGCUUAGGGUAUCGUGUCUAUUGGCCGGGGUCCAUAAAAAUCUUACCGGAGUGAGAACUUUAGCAGUCAUAAAUUUAUUUUACACUUCUUACAGCGGUGCUGCACAGUUGAAUGUGCCUGUGGGCAUCGACUUAGCGUUGGGAAGCUAGCGGCGGACCGGUCGGUUGAUCAAGACGUACACCGCUCCUAGCUGGCCGAGUCUACUGCUGUGCUGCUGCAAAUCGUUAAGGGAAUCCAAACGAUGCAUCAAGUCCAUCCAGUUAGGCUUCUCUAAGCAAGUAGAGCGCAACGCCGCUACAACGACAACCAAUUUAAGCGUACCAGCGAACGAGAACAAUACAUCGAGUGAACAUCGAGUAUUACCACAGAAAGCAUGCAAACAGAAACGGCGUCCUGCCGCCUUUGCUGAUUGUGAACCUAAUGCUUUUACAUUACAGCCGAGGUUUCUGCCGAAGAGGUUAGCUGGUGUCCGUCUAAUCACUAGGCAGUGCCCAGUACAGAGCAACCUGAUGACUGGAGCAACCGUUGUUCAGACCGCAUCGACUUGGGUGCCGUACCUUCCGGCCGCAAGAUCCACACACGGGCGUUGCUACAGAGCCAAAGUCGGAGCGACAGUAUGGCGCCGUGAUGUGCUGAGCUGAGCCUAAGCACGUACUGCAUUGCACCGCACAGACAUGUGCGUUCGGUCCACGCUAAAGGGAAACAAAUGCGUUUGGACCGAGAGCCGCUACACCGCACCAUCACCAGUAUUCGCUGAGAAGUGAGCUGAUGUGUUGUCGUUGUUACAGGGCUGCUGCUGCAACUGCGCCACAGGCAUCCUCGCCUAGCGUCGCUAAUUAUCACUCUUAGCGAUCGGCAGAGUUCCUCAUUUAGCGGUUUUCGUUGAAUGCCAUCCGGACAGAUCAGAAGCUAACGACAAGGGAACCAAUUGCGAUUAAUGUUUAAGCAUCCGAAUCCGAAUGUGAAGGUGUGCAGCAGCAGCAGUUGAAGACUAUCGGUCAGUCGAGACAGCUGGCCGAAUUCGACGGACUUGCAAGACGGGGCGCAGGAGAGAAGAAACCUUUGAUCACCUUCAGCGGGUUGUCGAUUUAUUUGCACUUUCCUUCCGUAGGUAGCCCAGAAUAUGAGAAAGCCCAUAUCCAUCGCAAAGGGAAACAAAUGCGAUUAGUGUUCGAAGACCGAGCUGGGCGGCCAAUGGGUCGCGCCACGCCCCGCCAGUUGAGCCCUUAACUCCUGGCUGCCGAUCAUCGUACCGCAAAGGGAAUCAAUUGCGAGGUGGUACUACAGCAGUCGAGCUCCCCGUUGAGCUCCUGGUCCUAGUCAAGCUCCCAGCUGAGCUUCUGGUCGAGUUCUUCGCUUCAGUAUUAAUAUCGUAAAGGGAAUCUAAUGCGAUGUACAGCGACAGCGGCAGGCAGGGUCACCCAAGACGCAAAGGUAUAUGAGCAGACUUCUAGUCGGUGCAUUUACGCAUUCCAGGAACGCCCAAGACCGCGACCCACUCACAAACUACUCGGCCAAGGUCUAAUCUGGCUGCAAUGCCAGGCGCGCCUUCAAGCAUACUCGUCAUGUUGGUCUCAAAGGGAAUCCAAGAGACACGCGCCCCGCGGUACAGCCAACUAAGCACACUUUUAUUUUGUUAUUGUUCCUAAAUCUAUCAUUGCAGCUUGACGAUAUAAGUAGCGAACAUUUCAGACCCAGAGCCAAAUUGAACUUGUAAAGCAUUAGAAUUGUCCUGUUAAUUUGUUCGUAAAUAAUGUUAGCAUUUUUUUUUAUGAAUUGUUAAUCUGCAUUGUAAGCUAUUGUAAAGCAUGACUUGUAAACUUUUGCCCUAAGAGCCAAUACAGACGUCCUACUUCACUGAGGAGUGCAUCGGGAUUGCCUUUCGCUAGGCUAGACGUUCCGGUCCAGAAGUAGCAGCAGCAGCAGAAGCAGCAAUCAGUUUAUAGCAGGACCAAUUUUAGCGCGAAAUCCAUGGCAGUGAGCAGUAAGCAAAGGGAGCAGCGUACGAGACGUUUUGAACUACAAAGGCCCUUUCAAGACCCGUUCCAAGGCAGGGAGAGCAGCAUACAGAGGCAAAGCCAGUCUUGACAUUCAGUACCUUCGCACUUGCACCUACUACCUUCGAUCUGUAUUCACUGGGUUUUCAAUCACCAAAUCCGCAUCCUGGGUCUAUUUGGAGCAGACUAGAAACGUAACACGACGUAGGAGCACACACGCUUUGAUCAUUUUUGAUACGAGAAGUCUUAUUCCCCUUUGGAUCACCUUUCAUAAUCUGCAAGUGGAGCAUCAAUUAGGCUGGAGGUAUCAUUUCUUCGCUAAACACCAUUUCAAUCGACCCGCAACCGUUUUUUCGAUACUCUACCACUGGCUUGGGAUAGAUUGCUCUUGAUUCUCUGCUGUUAUCAGCACUGAUGGCGGCUCCAGAUUUCAUUUCUACAUUGGACGCACUUACGUUUUUCUUCGCUACACACUGGUCGGUUAAUUUUUCUCUGUGAGGACCCUUCGUGAGGAUAUUAGAUUUGUUUGGAUAAUUGACAUUUAAAUUGGACUGCGGCGCGGGAUUGACACUACUACGACUCGAAUGACAGCGGCGUGGGAGUUAAUGAGGACGGCGGCGGGGGAAUUCAAAAUCCAGACGACGGCGAUGGAUGCUAAGUUUUGACUGCGGCGAGGGAUGCGAAGUUUUACAUCGUGGGAUUAUUAGGGCGUUUAGGCCAGGGCGUUAGGGAUAUUCUAAAAACGACUGGGAAUUACAAUAAUAUUGACUGCGGCGGUGGAAGCUGGCGGCGUGGGAUUGCAUAUUGGACUGCGGCGUGGGAUAAGCGAGAUAAUUGCGGCAGCGAGGGAUCCAUUGUUUGAUGACGGCGGCGAGGG